GUGCUCGCUUUAGCCACACAUGUAGUAAAAAUUGGAAUGAUACAGAGAUUAGCAUGGCCCCUGUGCAAGGAUGACAUGCAAAUUUGUGAAGCAGUCCAUAUUUUU